GGUCGUCACCUGGUGUCAUUCACUUAGCCCCAAGUAGCAAAGGUCACGUCCACGCAAAAAACCGCUCUUGCCCAAGGGAAAUGAAAAGAUGGCCCUUCUGAGCCAAUGAGUGACCCAGGCCGGGAACGCGGAUUCAGUUACCCUGGGCGACCGGCACCGUGGACAGGUCGUGCAAAUUCGUGGUUACAGGACGAAAGAAUCUCAUGGGGGUUGGAAAAACAACCUUGAUCCAGAAAGCCAGUGAGGUUUUGAAGUCCUCUGGGGUGCCUGUGGAUGGAUUUUACACAGAAGAAGUCAGGCAGGGAGGGAGAAGGACAGGAUUUGAUGUUGUCACUUUGUCUGGCACGCGGGGGCCUCUGUCCAGAGUUGGUCCAGACCCUGUGCCUGGAAAGCGCGAGUGCCGGGUUGGGCAGUACGUGGUGGACGUGACUUCUUUUGAGCAGUUGGCACUUCCUGUCUUGAGGAACGUGGGUUCCAGUGGCCCUGGACGCAGAGUGUGUGUCAUUGACGAGAUUGGGAAGAUGGAGCUCUUCAGCCAGCCUUUCAUCCAGGCUGUGCGCCAGACACUGUCCUCGCCAGGGACCGUGGUCCUGGGCACCAUCCCCAUCCCCAAGGGAAAGCCACUGGCCCUGGUGGAGGAGAUUCGGAGCAGGCCUGACGUGAAGGUGUUCAGUGGUCUCACUAAGUUGCUGAGUCUGACCUUGAACUUGGAUCCUCCCGCCUCAGCCUUCUGAGUCACUCGGGGUCACAGAUGUACACCAUUGUGCCUGGCUCCUGGCACUUCUUGAGCUGUCUCUGCAGAGCUGACGGUCACCAAGGAAAACAGAAACCUCCUUCUACCGGAUAUCGUGACGUGGGUGCAGAGCAGCGAGAAGUGAGGUGGGGCUACUUCCUGCACUGCUGCCCUCAGGAGGCGCCCAGUGGCCUGCUGCGAAUGGCCAUGACUCAAGGCUUCUGGACCUUGCGGCCAGGAAGGCUGACAGCUGCUUCCCACAAGGUUCAGCAGGUCAGGGUGGCCGUGUGCUGACCACAGCCCCUCACAGCCUGCUCACGCUCAGGGCUUUCUGUUCAUUCCUCCUCAGCCGUGCAUGGUCUGGUAAAGCAGGAACCGAGCAAAGGUGCUAGUAGUCACUGGAAUUUGCUCCACUGAAGUUUGUCCUUGUGUUGCCAUGUGGACAGCAAGCUCAGUGCCUGUUUACCGCAGGUCCUGAAAGUGAAAGACCUGUCCAGGGUUCUGUCUCCUGCAGCACGAAGUCUUGUUUCCUAGGAAAGCCAUUUGGGGUUCUCCUCCAUCUCUUGUAUAUUUCUUCAUUAAUUGCUAAAUAAAAUUAAAGCAAACCUGGUGUUUCAAA